rnacentral:rRNA from 1 species
ACGGGUGAGUAACGCGUGGGAACAUACCCUUUUCUACGGAAUAGCUCUGGGAAACUGGAGUUAAUACCGUAUACGCCCUACGGGGGAAAGAUUUAUCGGGGAAGGAUUGGCCCGCGUUGGAUUAGCUAGUUGGUGGGGUAAAGGCCUACCAAGGCGACGAUCCAUAGCUGGUCUGAGAGGAUGAUCAGCCACAUUGGGACUGAGACACGGCCCAAACUCCUACGGGAGGCAGCAGUGGGGAAUAUUGGACAAUGGGCGCAAGCCUGAUCCAGCCGUGCCGCGUGAGUGAUGAAGGCCUUAGGGUUGUAAAGCUCUUUCACCGAUGAAGAUAAUGACGGUAGUCGGAGAAGAAGCCCCGGCUAACUUCGUGCCAGCAGCCGCGGUAAUACGAAGGGGGCUAGCGUUGUUCGGAAUUACUGGGCGUAAAGCGCACGUAGGCGGAUAUUUAAGUCAGGGGUGAAAUCCCAGAGCUCAACUCUGGAACUGCCUUUGAUACUGGGUAUCUUGAGUAUGGAAGAGGUAAGUGGAAUUGCGAGUGUAGAGGUGAAAUUCGUAGA